rnacentral:rRNA from 1 species
UACGUAGGGCGCAAGCGUUGUCCGGAAUUAUUGGGCGUAAAGAGCUCGUAGGCGGCUUGUCACGUCGGAUGUGAAAGCCCGGGGCUUAACUCCGGGUCUGCAUUCGAUACGGGCUAGCUAGAGUGUGGUAGGGGAGAUCGGAAUUCCUGGUGUAGCGGUGAAAUGCGCAGAUAUCAGGAGGAACACCGAUGGCGAAGGCAGAUCUCUGGGCCGUAACUGACGCUGAGGAGCGAAAGCAUGGGGAGCGAACAGG